rnacentral:tRNA from 1 species
GCCCUAGUAGCUCAGGGGAUAGAGCUCCGGUUUCCUAAACCGGGAGUCAUAGGUUCGAAUCCUAUCUGGGGCA